GCAAGAAGCACCCACAAACCAUGGACUUGGAUUGUAAGAGUAAUUCUGUGGAUGGGAUCCUCAUUUUCCACCCUGCAUUCAGUACACAAAUAAAACGCUGGGGAAGGAAGGGGUCCAAGCCACUUCGGUGCUUAGCCAAGAUCCCAAACCGUCCUUGAGCUCCUCGGCAUACGUAGCUGAUGCUUGUUUUCCCUACAGCCUCUGGGGGUAACUAAAAGCAGCGGGAGCAUGGCAUAGGAUACUCUGAUCGUGAUUCUUCUCCCGAGGAAUAUCUCCUCCUUUCUCCUCAUUUUGCUUAAAGUGGGAAUGGACACGGGAAUCCUCAUCAGAGUGAGAAAUCCUCAGCCCUCGAAAUUCCUGAUUCUCCUGUAAUCAUUUCCACUGGGCAGCAGCUCUAGACACCAAAUAAAUGAUUUAACAAUCACGGUGUGGUUUAGAAACGAUAUACCUGACCAAAGUGAAUGGAAGGAUCCUUCCUUCUUGUUCUGCAUGCACUUUCAUGGUGCCCCUAAAUGAUUACGGCAGAAGAUAGGUCUCAAAACAUUCUAAAAGCUGAAGCCUCAAUUUUGAAAUGAUCCACAUAGAAACCAACUCCCGUUCUCUCUUGGGUUCUUGUGAAGUAAACAGGCCACCUUCCAGCCUCUUCCCCUCUCAUGCCUUCUCCCUCAGGCAAAGCGUCUCUUCUGUCUAGCAACCUCUGGAGACAUUUGUUACGGUAACAGAAUAGUCCAGGUCACGUCUAUCUACUGACAAAAGAAUAAUCAGCGCUGUUGGCAAAAGUCCCGUUCUUCCAUCUAUUCAUUUUGCCCUCUUUAGAUUUUGCUUGAACUCGUUAUUGUGAAGAUGCUGCCUUGACAGCUCCUUAGACUGAAGUCCUCUUCAUCCACAGAAGUGGUACAGCAAAAGUAAUCAAGAUGAAAGGUGAGGAUUUUGCCUUUCCUAGCAUGCACUGUCCACCUGGAUUCUGACCUGGAAGGACUUCCGUGACUUGCAACAUUGGUUAGGCAGAGCCAGGUCAAAGAGUUUCAGCACAUUUGAACUCUGACUCCCAAAGGAUGAGGACAAAAUAACGAGCACUGUCCUAUCAGUAAAGGUAUCUCGUGACUCCGUCACUCUCACCACCACAGCUGACGCACCUGAGAAAUAUAUUCGCAGGGAACAAAAAUUCAGACCUCAGCUUAGGACGGGGCAAGGGACAACCUGUAAGGUCUGCAGUGAAGAGUUAGCUCUCGGCAGUGACCCUGCCACAGGGAAAACCUCAGCACUGGGAACCAAUUGCCUGCGCUGGCUCUCAUAUUCAGAUCUCUGUCGCUAUGCUGGAACUGGUCAUUGCUUGUCAAUUAAUGGCAACAAGGUAAUUCUCUUAAAUUCUUGAAAAUACUUUGAAACGUGCAGUUUUUGUAAUUUUUCAGUUUCUUUUCCAAAAGUAGUUAAGGUCCCAAUCCUACAAAUUGUUCUCUUCUGAAUAAAACUCUGAAUUUUUCUGAAACCAUUGAAGCAUCUGCAGUGUGGAAAAUUUGGCUGGGAUGAAAUUCCAUGCUCUUUUUUGUCAGUGGAAAAGUUUUGCUUUUCUGGUAAUAAAGAAGCCUGAGAAAUACCUGAUUGUAAUCAGUUGAUGGUAGCUUAUUUUAGCAUACUUUAAUUGUUAUGCCUGCACAUUUUGUUUAAAAUUUCAGCAUGCAAUAGUUCAGGCACAAUAGUUCAGCUGCAGGUCUCCAUUUGGAGAAUGAUAGAAAAAUCAGCAUUUCUUCAUAUACUUUUACCAGUUUGUCUGUAAAAUAUGUUUUUCCUCCUCUCAGAAUUAACAUGUAAUACUCUUCUUUGCUUCAAAAAUAUUUUUUGUGCAAGUGUAAGCAUGAAAUCUAGAAACUCUAUAAACUGGACCUAGAGCAGAUCGGUGGAUGUAAUGUCCGAAAUGGCUGUUCUGCCACUACAGGUGAAAGACUAUUUUGCCUGCAGGGCAUUAUUUGAAGAGCUGGUGCCUAGACUGUUAUUCAUAAAUGAGUUCACAAUGAAAUCAGUAAUUUUCAAUAUUGAGGGCUUUCUGCUAAAAAUUAAGCAGGCUGUCACUUUGAUAUUAGACUUGCAGUAUAAGCGACAACAAAAUGAAGAUAGCAGGGGAAAAAAACAUUAAUCUUCCAAAAAGUUACUAUCUCUUUUUUUUUUUUUUAAUAAUAAGCAAGAGGAAUUUCUUUGGUUUUUUAAAAUGCUUCUCAGUUUUUAAAGUCUCACUUUGCUAGACCGGUAUCAGUUUGACUUAUUUCUAUUUUUAUAUUACCCUCCUGAAUAUUGCAUUAUAGAGGAAGGAACAAAUUAUCUGAAAUGCUAGUCUGAGAGGUAAGGAAAUACUAUCUCUCCUCUUCUGCCAAUACGUUUUCAUUCUAUGCAUUUGUGACCAUGCUUCGAAAACUGGGUUUUUCACUUGCAUAUGAAGAGCUUAAGUAUUUUUACUAG